rnacentral:lncRNA from 10 species
GAAUUCAGCUUUAGUACGACUAUCCCAGAGAGACUACUAAACAAGUUCACUACAGUGCACGAAAAUCCAGCUUUGGAGAAACUUCUGACCAGCAAGUCAGAAGUUUCAAAGAAAACUUCUUUGGUUUCAAAGAAAAAUCAGCUAGGAAAAGAUACUGAGGAGUCUGUGAAUAGAUGGAGUGGAGUGAGCUAGUAGAUGGUGAAGGCGCUGCUCACGAAAGAAACAGAGGUGGUGCCCAGGUCUUCAGAAUCUGAGUGACGACACUGGACACAAACUACUCACUGACUGGGGAGCAGCUGAGAAGCCUAGCAAAUCCUGGCUUAUCCCCCGAGAAUGUUCCAGCAGGAAAGCUUCCUGCUGACUCAAAAGGAUUUUUCUUCUUCUGAACUCCUAUUAUGGGAAUGGAUGAAAUCACUUACAGAGCCACAGAAGGAAACAAAGCAAAGCCAGGAUCAUGAGUUGGAUUAUCUGGAGGCCUAGGCCAAUGGGGAGUUAUUGCUUGCAGUCACUGAUCAAGCAAAUAAACUUUUCCUUCUUUCUUAUGAAAUUUAUUUAAGAAGCUGAAAUUACUUAAAUGAUAAUGAGUUGUGAGAAAAGAAUUGUAGUAGAUAUUUGUUCUCUAUCCAAAUUGCACUGAGUGGGGAGGUGUACCCAUACCCCAGCUUCGAGAAUUGACUGAUAACAGUUCACACCUGCACUUCUCCAGAGAAUUGUCCUUGUCUGACCUGAGCACCUUGUUUAGUAAUGUCUGGUAGGCUAUGCUCCACCUUCCCUGGGCAGAUCCACUGGUCUAAGACAAACAACCCAACCCUCUAAUUUCUGGGAAGAAUCACCUCCGUGAUUAAUCUAAGCUCCAGAUCUCCCAGAGAAAUCAUGCUGAGGCUACAUUUGUGAAACUACAUUUUUAUCUAGCUUCUUCCUUUGCCCUUUCCUGCUGUCCUCACUUCCUUAUGAAUUUUUUUCUGAAAGAUCUUGAUUAAUAAAUUAUUUAAUCAAGAUCCCCCAGUCAUAAGUUCUGUGUUUUGGAAUAUAACCUAUACAAAAAUAAAUUAAUUGGUACUAGAUAAUGCUCCGCUAUGCAUCUAUUUCAAUGUCUAUUCUUUGGAAGUUCUGUCAUCACACAUCCCCAAGUUUUAGAUAAGGUUUUUAGCUAACAGCCAGGAAAAGAUUCAAUAAACUUAAAAGAAAAAGUGUUUUUAAAUGUAAUAUUUUUUGUCUCUAAAGAAGUUUUUGUAUUGCAAAUGUUAAUCUCUUAAAAUAGAGGGGAACGAAGAAUGAAAAAAGAAAUAUUUUUAAGAUGUCCUUUUAAAACAUAGUCCCUCAAGCUAGUUGUUGUAGUUUUAGAAUAUAAAGAGCCCAGUAAAGAUGGUUUCAGUGAGAAGCUAUUAUUAAGAAAUGAGACUAGAAAGUUUUGGAGUCAAUAUCUGUAGCCUUUUGAUACUGAAAAUUCUGCAUAGUGGAUGGGAGUCAUGAGAAUUUUCCAGUCUUUAUUUUGGAAAUCUCUUACCUAUCCAACUAUAAUAACUGUCAUGUCAUUUAUAGUAUUAUCUUUUUGGAUUGUCCUGAGCAUUCAGUUCCAAAGUGAAGUCAAUGUAUCAUAGAACAUAUGGAAAAAUUCCAGAACUCAUGUUUAUAUUUAUUUUUAUCUAAACAAACAAUUUUUUACAGCAUUGGCUUUGAGGUGUGGAAUCUUAGCAGAAGUACAUUAAUUACUGGAUGCU